UACGUAGGGGGCGAGCGUUGUCCGGAAUCAUUGGGCGUAAAGCGCGUGUAGGCGGUCCGGUAAGUCCGCUGUGAAAGUCGGGGGCUCAACCCUCGGAUGCCGGUGGAUACUGUCGGGCUUGAGUACGGAAGAGGCGAGUGGAAUUCCUGGUGUAGCGGUGAAAUGCGCAGAUAUCGGGAGGAACACCAGUAGCGAAGGCGGCACUCUGGGCCGGUACUGACGCUGAGGAGCGAAAGCGUGGGGAGCGAACAGG
rnacentral:rRNA from 1 species